CAGAGCUCUGAGCUGUUCUCCUGGCCUUGCAGGCGCACACCACCCGCUCCAGCCAGCGGUGCCUGGCCUUUGUGGAUGACGUCCGAUGCUCCAACCCGUCCCUGCCGAUGACCAGGCACUGCCUUACUCGUAUCCUUUCAUCUCAGGCCCAGCUUCCAGGGGAGCCCAAAGGAAUUUUCUUCCUGUGGUCCGCUGGCCGAGCCAGAGCAUCUCCGGGGUGCGGCCAGGUCACUUGGAAGUGACAAAGGGACCUCGUGAAGCCCGAGGCAGGCCCGAGCUGGCUGCCAGCUGUGGAAUAGGUUUUCCACUGGGAAGGAAAAUGCAGUGGGAAGCUGGAAAUAACCGGAACCCAACUCCUGGCGGUGGGAGCAGCAUUGUGCGCGCUGCCGUCCCCGCUGCCUGCUGGACCUGGAAACCGGUGCAGACGCCUCUGAAAUGGACGUCUGCAAAUCAAAGUGAGCCCGGGCAUGUGGAAU
rnacentral:lncRNA from 1 species